GUAGGUGGCAAGCGUUGUCCGGAACUAUUGGGCGUAAAGCGCGCGCAGGCGGGUCCUUUAAGUCUGAUGUGAAAGCCCACGGGCUCAACCGUGGAGGGUCAUUGGAAACUGGGGGACUUGAGUACAGAAGAGGAAAGCGGAAUUCCAAGUGUAGCGGUGAAAUGCGUAGAGAUUUGGAGGAACACCAGUGGCGAAGGCGGCUUUCUGGUCUGUAACUGACGCUGAGGCGCGAAAGCGUGGGGAGCAAACAGGAUUAGAUACCCUGGUAGUCCACGCCGUAAACGAUGAGUGCUAAGUGUUAGGGGGUUUCCGCCCCUUAGUGCUGCAGCUAACGCAUUGAGCACUCCGCCUGGGGAGUACGGCCGCAAGGCUG
rnacentral:rRNA from 1 species